GGUGUAUGUAGUAUACAUAUAUAGUAAGAUAUAUUUAACUUUUUUUUCUGAGAAUGAUUUUCAAAUGAUUAUUAUUCUGAGGGGGAAAAAAGCUAGUAAUUUCCUAUCACAGUACACUGGUCUGUGACGACCACACGAUGACACUGAAGACCCAAGAUACUCAUCACACUAGCUCUUUUCCAUCCAUUCUGCAUUCCUACCAGUAUUCUGAAGGCUUGGGAAAGUUUUCUAUUUAAUAAUAUGAGGAUCUGGUCAAAAAAGGCUGUCAGCAGUCUCCAUGGCCAAAGUCAUGACGCAGAUGAAGAAGCUGAAAGAAAAAAGAGU
ensembl:lncRNA